rnacentral:rRNA from 1 species
UGCAGUCGACGGCAGCACAGUAAGAGCUUGCUCUUAUGGGUGGCGAGUGGCGGACGGGUGAGGAAUACAUCGGAAUCUACCUUUUCGUGGGGGAUAACGUAGGGAAACUUACGCUAAUACCGCAUACGACCUUCGGGUGAAAGCAGGGGACCUUCGGGCCUUGCGCGGAUAGAUGAGCCGAUGUCGGAUUAGCUAGUUGGCGGGGUAAAGGCCCACCAAGGCGACGAUCCGUAGCUGGUCUGAGAGGAUGAUCAGCCACACUGGAACUGAGACACGGUCCAGACUCCUACGGGAGGCAGCAGUGGGGAAUAUUGGACAAUGGGCGCAAGCCUGAUCCAGCCAUACCGCGUGGGUGAAGAAGGCCUUCGGGUUGUAAAGCCCUUUUGUUGGGAAAGAAAAGCAGUCGAUUAAUACUCGGUUGUUCUGACGGUACCCAAAGAAUAAGCACCGGCUAACUUCGUGCCAGCAGCCGCGGUAAUACGAAGGGUGCAAGCGUUACUCGGAAUUACUGGGCGUAAAGCGUGCGUAGGUGGUUGUUUAAGUCUGUUGUGAAAGCCCUGGGCUCAACCUGGGAAUUGCAGUGGAUACUGGGCGACUAGAGUGUGGUAGAGGGUAGUGGAAUUCCCGGUGUAGCAGUGAAAUGCGUAGAGAUCGGGAGGAACAUCCAUGGCGAAGGCAGCUACCUGGACCAACACUGACACUGAGGCACGAAAGCGUG